rnacentral:rRNA from 1 species
UACGGAAGGUCCGGGCGUUAUCCGGAUUUAUUGGGUUUAAAGGGAGCGUAGGCGGAGGAUCAAGUCAGUUGUGAAAUGUAGGCGCUUAACGUCUGCACUGCAGUUGAAACUGGUUCCCUUGAGUGCGUAAGAGGCAGGCGGAAUUCGUCGUGUAGCGGUGAAAUGCUUAGAUAUGACGAAGAACUCCGAUCGCGAAGGCAGCUUGCCGGGACGCAACUGACGCUGAAGCUCGAAGGUGCGGGUAUCGAAC